UGUUUCCAACCGCACACACACCGGAGGUCCGGAGCUGUUGCGACUCGACGAGACACAGUCGUCAACAGCAACAAGCAGCCGACGUUUAUUUUCGUGUAAAGCCUCAUUUUGCUGAAAGAGGAUACUGAAAUAGUUUUGCCUGCAGGAUAUUUGGUGCUCGAUUGCGAUCUCUUCAUUAACUUAUUUACAAACUCAACAUGGAGGACGAGAGCAAAUAUCUCCCGCAGCUGCUGGCGGAGCGAGACAGCCUGGACUCGUCGUUCACACACGCCAUGAAACUUAUAUCCGCAGAAAUCGAGAGGGUUCAGAAAGGGGAGACUGAGAAAGAACCUGAAAGCUAUCUGGACCUCUUCACAACAAAAAACAUCAAACUGAAGGAAAGGGUUCUUAUACCGGUCAAACAGUACCCUAAGUUUAACUUUGUUGGGAAGAUCCUUGGACCGCAGGGGAACACCAUCAAGAGACUGCAGGAGGAGACUGGUGCUAAGAUCUCAGUGCUUGGGAAAGGAUCCAUGAGGGACAAAACCAUGGAGGAAGGCUUGAGGAAAGGUGGAGAGCCAAAGUAUUCACAUUUGUCCAUGGAGCUUCAUGUGUUUAUUGAGGUUUUUGCUCCUGUUCCUGAGGCAUACAUGCGCAUGGCACACGCCAUGGAAGAGAUCAAAAAGUUCUUGUUUCCGGACAUGAUGGAUGAUAUUUGCCAGGAACAGUUCAUGGAGAUGAAGUUUCUAAAUGGGGGUCAGGAACAUGGGGGAAGAGGACGAGGAGGUCCACCCGUCAGAGGCCGUGGAGCCCACCCAGCUUCAGGGGCACCCAGGGGUCGUGGUAUGCCCCCGCGUGGAGGUGUUCGUGGUGGCCCACCUCGAGGCGGAGCUGUUAGAGGAGCUCCUGCUGGGAGAGGAGGGCCACCAGCCCAGUCUGCCAGAGGAGCUGCUGCUACCCGUGCCCGUCCAGCCGCUUCUGCUCCACCUAGGAUGCCCCCUCCCCCACCAUCCCACACUCAGGCCCAAGAGACAUAUGAAGAAUAUUCUUAUGAUGAGAACUAUGCAGAGGCAGCCUAUGAACCCUACGACAGCUACUACAGUCAGCCGCAGGCAGAACCAGAAUACUAUGACUAUGGACAUGGAGAGACACAAGAAGGGUACGAAAGCUACGCUCAAGAUGAUUGGAACGGAACACCGCGUGCUGCCGCCAGUGGAAAAGCUCCCACUCAGAGACAGACUAAGCCUGGGUUCAGGGAACACCCCUAUGGACGAUACUAAAUGUGACUAGUGGAACGCCACCCAACAUGUCGCCAUGACAACUGUCGCCCAUGGCAGCUCGCGCUUUAAGCUACCCGACAAAAGUAAUGGUGCCUGACAAUUCCAGGAAAUGGAAUCUGUUUGAAAAGAAUGCGAGACCUCUGCUCGGGGAAGUGCUUGUUCAAAGUAAGAGCACUCUUGCCUCUGAACAUCAGCAGUCUUUAUGGGACCAACGACAAUGACAGUUCUCAGAAACCAGAGGUCUGAAGGACGUCUUCUGAGAAGAAUGUAGUGGAUCUGUGUGCAAAAAGAAAUCGACGUUCUGGUCAACAAACGGCCCAAGCUUGAACCAGGCCGAUAUGCGCAAGGUGCCCCAUUUGGGUAGUCUCUUCUUGGAUGGAAGUCUGUGUUAAUGUAUUCUAUCUGUCACCAGUCAUAUCUGAGGUGAAAGUUAAUUUCUUUGUGCCAGAAUGUUUCUGGCACUCUUUAGUGGUUACCUCAAGGUGUUUCUUAGCACCCUUAACUUGACAUUUUCAUCUUUAAAUUGACCUCAUGCUUUUGUUUGCCAAAAAAUUAUUUUAACAAGCUCUGAAAAUUCUGUCCAGGCUCUCCAGAUGUCCAACUCUGACAAUACUCCAGUGCUUUAUUCUGCUAGACAAGCAUGACUUCCCUGACACACUCGGUUCCUCACUCUGAGGAAUGUACAUGCUAAUUUAGAGCUGAUUUGGCCAUAUCUUUUUGCACAGACUUUGUCCUUUAAUUGCCAUGGUAAUGUUCACUCGACUCGUGAGGGGAGAUAUGUUUGAAUGGGCUUAUGUUGAUUUAGCUGUCUUGGAGUUUUAUAAUUUACAAUUGAAACUUGGGUCUGAAGCAAAAACAUGCUUAAGCUUUUGCAGUGUUAAUUUUCAUUAAAUUAUAUUGUAAAAUAGUUUGUUUCAGACUUGUACAUUGGACUAUGGUGUUCCAAGAGUAGUGAUAUUUGGGCUAACAGCACUGGAACACUUCACUGUUUAUCACUCUGCUUGUCUGUGUUUAUAUUUUCAUUGUUGACUCCUAAAUUUGUGUCUAAAUUAUAAUUUACUCCACAUUCUUGUUUAUAGAAUUCUCUCACUUGUGAUAUAAAAUAGCUUUUUCUGAUCUCUGCUAUGCAGUCUGACUUUUGAACUGAAUACAUUUGUGCAUGUGUACAUGUCAUUGUCAGAGUACAUAAGUUGAGCUUCCCUGGAUCUUGAUCUUUUGCUCAUUUUUUUUCUCCAGCACAAAAAGGAUUCAGGCUUGUCAUUCUGACCAAUUACUGCUGAUGACAGCAUGUCCGUUCCCCCGUAGAGCCGGUACUGGUUGCUGACUGGCUAACAGGACUCUGCCUUAUUACAUUAGACACACAUCAGUCCUCAGCACAGAUUUUAAUAAGCAUCAGGCACCGCUCAAGUGACAUCGAACAAUUGGAAAUGGGAGUAUGUAGGUAUAGGGUUGACGCUGUGUGUGUGUGUGUGUGUGUGUGUGUGUGUGUGUGUGUGUGUGUGUGUGUGUGUGUGUGUGUGUGUACGGGCCUCAACAUAAUGACAAAUUGCAAAAGCAGAUAAUGGAAAUAUUUAAUGUAUUUCCCUGACACAUGCUGAGGGGCAAAUAGACUACAGAACUCUCUGGAAGAAUAGAAUGUUCAAGCCAACUCUCAAGCGCUUAAUGGGUCUCUGUUUACAUGGUUAUAGGUAUGUGUGUGUUGGACAUGCCUGACCUACAGCUGCAGGGGAAAUGCCUCUAUGGUAGCGUAAACGGCAUGCGUGAUGGUCUGAAACAGUUGUGGUUUGGCAGCUCAUCAGUCCUAACAUAUUCUACAUGCUGAAAACCAGAAGCAUGGUUGCAUGAAUGCAAAUUUUGCACCACGGUCCCGGUCAGUUUCUUGCAUGGUGAUUUUGUUAGUUUCGCACCUAACCAGUGCGUUCACUCCAGGGAGUCAGUGUAGUGAGUGCAUGGGGAGUGGCUCCAACAGUUUUAUGAUGGUUUCUGGCUCAAGUCCUGGAGAACCAUGGCCGCCGGCCACCUUUUCAGUGUGAAAAUGCUGGUAAUAACCAAGCCUCCAAAAGGGCUCUCCCUUAAUGUAGUGUGACGAGAAUAAAUUGAAUAUGUCCAUGUGGAAUCUGGCUUGAGUAAUCUGUAGCCCUCCAGGACAAGAGUUGGACACCUCCACUUUGGCUGUCACUGUAGUAAUAUUCCACUGCAUGUUUUCCAACAUCCACUUAAGUAACUGCACCCAACACAAAGUGGGGAAAUUAUGGGAGUUUCCUGUGAUUGGAAAUGGAAUACAAGUGCCAGGAGUUUAUUCUUUUGUUUUCUUAAAGAGAUUGAUAUGCUUGGAGUUGCCAUGCAGCCAAAUUUGAGAGUCUUUCAACACUGCAGUUUGUUUUUAUCGCGAUAGUAACGAACUAAGCUUUUGGGGGCUGAGAAACUGAUUGGUGACAUUGGGGAGCGGACAGAAUUUCAGUUAAUUUGCAAGUCAUUCAAACUUGUCUCUGUCUCUGGAAGUUAGUACAUCUUCAAGCACAUUUGAUCAAGUUCACACCCAGACUGCAAAUGAAUGAAUCUGCCUCAAAGGGAAAAGCCUGAUGACUUCAAUGAUUUUGAUGUGGUAUUUACCAGUAAAUGAUUUUUGGCCUCUAAAAUAUUGUCAGAAAUAAAGAUAUUGAAUGCAAACAAUGACUUUUGUGUUAGUUACUUUUCAUGUAUGUGUGUGUGUCACAUAAUGGCUCAUACUGACAUUGAUUAAAACGUGCCUUUUUAUUAUUUUAAUUAUAUUCCAGUAUAAAUAAUGAUGCACCAGUGCGUCCGCAUCGGCCAAUAAAAGCUUAAUCUUAAUUUCACGAGGUGGAACUACAGUUAAAACUUUUAACAAAUAAUUGCAUUACUCCAAGUUUGACAUGGCAAGGCAUGUUAAAGCUGAAGUGGAGGUUGCUUCAACUCAAAAUCACCAUUCAGUGCAUUCAAGAACAUUUAAAAAAAAUAAAGCUUUAGCUUACCAAUUUAUUGUGUGCCUACAAAAGAGGCUACUCUGAGCCCAGUUAAUGUGAGUUAAGAAUGUUAAUGUGAUUUAUAUAUUUGUAUAUAACCAUUUCAGAUCCAUUACUCUGAAACAUGUAAGACAUGUAGAGAGUGAAUAAAUGAGGUUGUGUAAUUACCAUUGUUUUGAAACAACAUGGCAUGAAACAAGACCAUCACCAAACUAUCGUUAUCAGCUGAUGUUGCUUUAAAAUAAUCUGUACAUUU